UUCGAUCGAAGAAAUUUUCACUCAAAUCUUUGCAAAAUAAAAUAAAUUCGAUUACAAUUAAUCAAGAAAAUAAUAAUAAUAAUAAUAAUAAUAAUAAUAAAUAAUCCUUAUUGGCGUGAAAGUUUCUUCGUCGCAAAAAUCGAGCUAAUAUUUUUUUUAUCGACAGAAAACAUUCUUCUUUGAUUAAACACGUCGGGCGUCGUGAUGGCGUCGAGAAAGAAAAAAGAAGAAAAAAAAAAGAAAGAAAAAAGGAAGCACAGCCAACUUUAAUAUCGAAGCUAAGUGACGUAGGUUGAUGCGAAAGAGUUCUCUCUCUUUCUCCUCUCCUUUAAAAAAUAAUCCGUGUCUUGAAUUAGAAACUUGUUCAAUCGUUCAACGCGUGACUGAGAAAACGCAUACGUUCCUCAAGGGUUGAAAUUGCUUCUCUACAUGUAUAGAGUCUCGUGUAUAAUGUCACUUGUAAAUAUACAAAUGAUGGAAAAUAUUCUUUUCAACGAUGCUUUGAUUAUUGAGGUAUUGAAUAUCGAUAAAAGGUUGCUUCUUUUUUUUUCUACUAUCUCAAAUUAGUUAUUCUUUUUUAAGUUAACUCGAAUUAUAAAAAAAAUGGUUUUUUUCAGAACCAUUUGAUAAAUUUGAUGAAAAAAAGAUACAAUGGUACAAUACAAAGUUUUACAAUACAAAAUAAAUAAACUACACUUUCUCACUUUCAACGUUUGCUCCUUCUUAUGUUGUGAAAUUUACCCUCUGGUAUAAACUAUUUUUGUGAACCAAAUAACCGUGUAUCUAACAAGGGUACGAAGGAGAAUCUCGAUAAAUUGCAAGAAAAGUUGGUGUAAUGUUGAUGAAAUAUGGUGGAGGGUGGCGAGUAUGGUUUUAAGUUUACGACGGACAGAGCAUCCCCCUGUUUUAAAGAUAAUAUCCAACAAGAGUAACGAAGGUCUUGGACCCUUAGAAGGGUCGCAGAAUCCAAACAUUGUGACCUUGCAUGUUCAACUACACGAAUAACACGAAAGAUUAAAAAAUUAAUAAAAUAAUAGAAGAAAAUUAAUGAAAAUUAGAAAAAUAGAAUUAAUAAAUUAAUAGAAAUAUAUAUACGUCGAUUGAAAUUCAUGAAUAUCGAAUAUAUCGUGUUUUAAUGAGGAAUAUAUUGGAUUUUCGAGAGAGUGAAAAUAAACUUCAAUCUAAUUCUCUAUAAUUUUUUUUUUUUUUGUUAUACACUUCUUUGACUAAUUGAAUAUAGAAUAAUUUAUCAAUGGGCCACUGGAUGAUACUUUCCUUUGUCCUAUGUGACCCAUAAGAUAUUUUAACACAGGUGACU